UACAGAGGGUGCGAGCGUUAAUCGGAAUCACUGGGCUUAAAGGGUGCGUAGGCGGACGCGUAGGCGCUUUGUGAAAUCCCUCGGCUCAACCGAGGAAUUGCUUGGCGAACCACGCGUCUUGAGGUUGGUAGAGGUCGCUGGAACGAUAGGUGGAGCGGUGAAAUGCGUAGAUAUCUAUCGGAACGCCAAAGGUGAAGACAGGCGACUGGGCCAUACCUGACGCUGAGGCACGAAAGCGUGGGGAGCAAACGGG
rnacentral:rRNA from 1 species